CCCCUAGAUGUUCUGGGCCGCACGCGCGCUACACUGAACAGUUCAACAAGUCUUAACCUUGGCCGAUAGGUCUGGGUAAUCUUUGAACGCUGUUCGUGAUUGGGAUAGACCUUUGCAAUUAUGGGUCUUCAACGAGGAAUUCCUAGUAAACGCAAGUCAUCAGCUUGCAUUGAUUACGUCCCUGCCCUUUGUACACCCCGCCCGUCGCACCUACCGAUUGAAUGGUCCGGUGAAAUCUCGGGACGGCGGCUUGGUCGCUUGCGUCCGACUGCUGAAACUUGAUUAAACCAUAUCAUUUAGAGGAAGGUGAANUCGUAACA
rnacentral:rRNA from 1 species